rnacentral:rRNA from 1 species
GAAGGGACCUAGCGUAGUUCGGAAUUACUGGGCUUAAAGAGUUCGUAGGUGGUUAAAAAAGUUGGUGGUGAAAUCCCAGAGCUUAACUCUGGAACUGCCAUCAAAACUUUUUAGCUAGAGUAUGAUAGAGGAAAGCAGAAUUUCUAGUGUAGAGGUGAAAUUCGUAGAUAUUAGAAAGAAUACCGAUUGCGAAGGCAGCUUUCUGGAUCAUUACUGACACUGAGGAACGAAAGCAUGGGUAGCGAAGAGGAUUAGAUACCCUCGUAGUCCAUGCCGUAAACGAUGUGUGUUAGACGUUGGAAAUUUAUUUUCAGUGUCGCAGCGAAAGCAAUAAACACACCGCCUGGGGAGUACGACCGCAAGGUUAAAACUCAAAUGAAUUGACGGGGACCCGCACAAGUAGUGGAGCAUGUGGUUUAAUUCGAAGAUACGCGCAGAACCUUACCAACACUUGACAUGUUCGUCGCGACUUUAAGAGAUUAAAGUUUUCGGUUCGGCCGGACGAAACACAGGUGCUGCAUGGCUGUCGUCAGCUCGUGUCGUGAGAUGUUGGGUUAAGUCCCGCAACGAGCGCAACCCUCACUUUUAGUUGCCAUCAUUUAGUUGGGCACUCUGAAAGAACUGCCAGUGAUAAGCUGGAGGAAGGUGGGGAUGACGUCAAGUCCUCAUGGCCCUUAUGUGUUGGGCUACACACGUGCUACAAUGGUAUCUACAACAGGAAGCAAGAUGGCAACAUUUAGCAAAUCCUAAAAAGAUAUCUCAGUUCGGAUUGCACUCUGCAACUCGAGUGCAUGAAGCUGGAAUUACUAGUAAUCGUGGAUCAGCGUGCCACGGUGAAUACGUUCCCGGGUCUU